rnacentral:tmRNA from 1 species
GGGGGUGCCUAUAGGAUUCGACGGAAUUAUCAACGGUGAAAUUGCAGGUCGGAGAUAGUCGAUGGCUCCGUUAAAAAUCGACUAAAAAAUAAAUAACAACAAUAUUAAUAGAGAUACUUUUACUGUAAAUAGUAGUAGUGCUUUGCCAUUAGCUGCUUAGUUUUAAUUUUAGUUUUAGUUUUAGUUUGUAAAAUUGUUGUAUUAAAGUAAAAACCUGUAUAAAAUUUCAUUAAAAUAAGUUUCGGACGCGGGUUCGAUUCCCGCCACCUCCAGAU